rnacentral:rRNA from 1 species
UUCUGGCUCAGGAUGAACGCUAGCUACAGGCUUAACACAUGCAAGUCGAGGGGCAGCAUGAUCAAAGCUUGCUUGAUUGAUGGCGACCGGCGCACGGGUGAGUAACGCGUAUCCAACCUUCCCCUUAGUAGGGCAUAGCCCGGCGAAAGUCGGAUUAAUACCCUAUGUUAUUCGUCGAGGACAUCUGAAGUGAAUCAAAGAUUUAUCGCUAAGGGAUGGGGAUGCGUCUGAUUAGGUUGUUGGCGGGGUAACGGCCCACCAAGCCAUCGAUCAGUAGGGUUCUGAGAGGAAGGUCCCCCACAUUGGUACUGAGACACGGACCAAACUCCUACGGGAGGCAGCAGUGAGGAAUAUUGGUCAAUGGGCGAGGGCCUGAACCAGCCAAGUAGCGUGCCAGGAUGACUGCCCUAUGGGUUGUAAACUGCUUUUAUACGGGGAUAAAGUGAGGUAUGCAUACCUUUUUGUAGGUACCGUAUGAAUAAGGACCGGCUAAUUCCGUGCCAGCAGCUGC